AAUGAACAACAUCAUCAACAACAACGACGACGACGACAACAACAACAAUAACAACAACAGCAACGACAACAACGUAAUAGUUCUUUAGCAUCGUCACUCUUAGCUUUGCUUUCUUGAAUCUGAGACCCCUUCACUGCGCUUCCCCUACAGCCCAGCACCAGAGAAGCCUUGCAAAGGGUUGGCUUCAGAGAAGCCCCAUCCCACAGCCCUGCUCUUUAGAAGGAUACCUGAUGGAGAAUGAACAGAAUUAAGGGUGUGGUCGAGUAAAGAAGCAUCACGUGAUGAGCCUUUGAACAAUCUAACUUCAAAGUGCUUUCUUCUAUCUGUGUCUGAGAAACCAACUAGGUUUUAGAAACCUGACUGGUUGUGGGUUUUGACCAUUAACCCCCUUGCUCUAAUGAUUUCGCGAAUGCCAACAGGCAAGCUUAUAGAAAGCCUGCUUUUCCUCAAGCUACUCUUUGAGCUGCCUUGGUCCUUUCAGGGAGGGAUCCCUCUUAUAUUUCAAGGGCAUUGGGUUGCAGAUGCUUAUGUUUAGCGGAUCAUUAAGCCUGUUUCAUCCUUUUACUGCAAAUGAAGGAGCUAUCUGAAGCUUUAGACCUCUUGUGUUUGUUGAACUGAACUGGUAGGGAGAACUAGGAAACUUUCCCUGAGCUCUCUGAGGUACAGACAAAGCUGCACCCAUGUUGAAGAAGUUCUUGAAGCUGCAGCACUUCCCGGCACAUUUCAAAGCUCCCUUCAGAAGUGAGGCAACGCAGGCCUGACUCUAGCAUUUUGCCUUUGGGUAACAGAUGUUUCACAGAGAAUUUCAGUAAUUCUUUUUAAUGUUCUGAAUAACUCAAGGUUGUUUCAGCUCUUAGUCCCCAAAGUGCCCAUGUACCGCCUUGGAAUGAGUAAAUUGAUUAAGCCAAGGCCUAUCUGUCUAGAACUUUAAAGGAUGGCUCCUUUCUCAGGACUCAGAAAGCUGUUUUCAUAGAGCCACUUCUCUUCUGGGAAUUUAAGAGAGACAUGGUGGGCCUCUCUCAGCAGUCAACCUUGAGUCUGAGUGAAGGAGUUCUCUUAGGGCAGACCUGGAAAGCAGGUGAGGAAGUAAGUUCAGAGAAAGAAGGUCAAGCGAGGUUGAUUCUCUGCAUCUGACUUACCUUGCUCUGAGCUUUAAGUUCUGCCCUAACACAUGCCUUAGAGCAUGUCCUUCAGUAGACCAGAAGCUGAGCUUCUUUACUUCCAUUUCAAUCAUUAGCUAAAGACAUUUGGGGGCACAGAAACACACAGGCAUUUCUGACAUCUGGAUGAAAUAGCUCCCUGUGUGGGGAAAGUCUUAGUUUUUUAAAUUUUUUUUGUUUGUUUUUUGUUUUUUGUAUUUUGUUUGUUUGCUUGUUUUCCAGCAGCAGACUAUACAGAAGCUAUGAAGGAGGCUGACAGGCAAUCCAAGGGUAUCUCAUGAGGGAUCUGCAGGGCUUGGAAUAGGAACUCUUUGGGGACUAUUUUCCAGCUCAGGCUGUAGGGAGGAGCCAUCUUAAAAACGGGUUCAAGCCAUCUGUGGGCUCUGUGGGGACAUGAUGACACAUCCUGUAUGGGGAUCUCUGCCAGGCAGCAGGGUGGAAGGCUUGGCCAGGUCACCCUGCAAACCGCCUGACUAACCCUCUGCAGGUACCAAGACUUUCUCUUAAGGCCCAGAAUACACAUCAUAUGUAGAGGUUUGUUUUUUAUCUUAUUAUACUGAGUAUAUAGCUGUUAGAUAACUUGUGACAGUGUCCCCAAACACACCUUAGGAAUGACUUCUGGCACCCGUAAAAAAAUCACAUCAUUGUCAUUUUUCAAGAGCCCUAUUGAGAAUAGAAAUGAGCACUGGGGGCUUAGAACGCACUAUUUGGAUCCUUGUACGUGGUAGCACAUUGUAAUGCUUCCAACAAUAUCAUGUGGCCACAGAGAAGUAACAACAUACUACAGUUCUUAGCUGGUGGAGGGCCCAGGAGAAGGUGUGAGUGCAUCCCUACACUCUGAUUCCAAAGACAGGAAAGGCAUACUCUGACACACACACCCUUACUCUUCCAGUCUUUGUUUUAAUUACAGGCUUUGCCCUUGUGAAGUGUUUGAUUCCUGGCUUGGACUGAGGCUGUGGCAAGGUAGAAGUGCAAGACUAAGGUGGCUGGAAUGCACAGUUCUGGGUCCUGGAGGCGGUAAGACACAGAGUUGCAGAGAUGGGAAAUGGCUCCAAAGAGCCUGAAUUGCUUACUUAGGUCAAUGUUGAAAACACUACCCAAAAUUUAAAUAUACAGGACAGAAAAUCAUUUUUUUCCUUGUAUUGGAACAUUGAAUACUUUAGACUUAUGUAAAGAUUACCUAAUUUUCUAAGGGUCUAUGCUUUUCUUUGAUGAUCUAUUUAAUUGUGAGUCAAGGCUCACCUUGUAGCCCAGGCUGUCUUGGCUCUCACGGACUUCCUCUCUCAGCUUUCCAAGUGCUGGCAUCACCCAUUACAGGCAGGCGCCUUUAUCCAGUGAUACGCUAUUUUCUUUUUUUAAACAGCUUUAUUGCAGUAUAACUGAUGUAAAAUAAAUGUGCAUAUCAAAUGCAAAAUCUCAUAAAUUGCCAUGAAACCCUUGCCACAAGGAAAUGAAUGCAUUUGUCACCCUCCCAAUAGUUUUAAUGUGUGCUUAUUCUUAAUUAGAGAUGGGAUUGUAAAGGUGGAUAUUUGUUUGCAGAAGACUAAACAAAUGAACUUGACCCUUGACCCAUUGUAGAUGCAGAUGAUUUCUUUCUGGUAGAAAAUACAUUGUCAACAAAUAUCAUAGUGCACUAAUCUGCUAGAAAUCAUUUUAAUGAACUUAUUUCAAUUUCCUUCUCCUGGCUGACUAUAAAUAUUUGUUCUUCGGAUACUCUGGGACUCUAAAACAAUCUUUGGCAUAUGCUUAUUACAGAUUCAUGUAAAAGUCAUGAUCUAAUAAUUUAAAAAUCUUUCUUUGCAAACAAAUAACCCAAUUAAAACUGGGGCACGGAACUUAGCAAACAGUUCUCAAAAGACGAGACAUAUCGCACUGAACCACAAUUAGCCGUCAGGGAAAUGCAAAUCCAAACUACUUUGAAAUUUCAUCUUCUGCCUGUAAGAAUGGCCAAGAUCAAUAAAACAAAUGAUAGAACAUACAGGGAGGAUGCGGGGAAACAGAAACACUUAUUCAUUGCCAAUGAGAGUGGAAAUUGGCACAACUAUGAUGAAAAUCAGUGAGGAAACUGAGAAUUGAUCUACCUCAAGAUCCUGCUAGAUGUCUUUUCAGCAUAUACUCAAAGGGCUCAUACUACAGAGAGGCUGGAAACAAUCUGCAUGUCUAUCAACAAAUGGAUGGAUAACAAAAAUGUGGUCCAUUUACAUGAUGGGAUGUUAUUCAGCUGUUACUAAACAUAAAAUUAUAAAAUUCGCAGGAAUAGAUAUAGAGCUACCAAAAAAGUCACCUGGAGUGAGGUAACUCACACUUUGGAAGAUAAAUAUUGCAUGGUUUCUCUUACAUAUGGAUGUUAGCUUUUAAGCUUUCAAUGUGUAUGCUACAGAAUACAUCUGGAUAACCACAGAGCUUAAGUGCCUAGUUAGGGAUUAGGGAUAGAAAGACCAUCUCCCAAGGAUAAGAAAAUAGAAUAGAGUCAUGGAGAGAAAGGGGGAAAACUAGAAUAACAGCAUGAAGAGGUGAUGGGAGUAAAGGGUAAAGGAAGAAAUAUGGGGAAGGGCAACUAACACUAAAGGCCUUUUGAAAAACUACGGGGGAACCUACUGCUAUAGUAGCUUUAUUAAACAUAUAUGAAAGUAAUUGAAAUGAAAUCACAGUGUCCCAAUUAGACAUUCUAUGCCACCAUGUAAAACCCCCAGUUACAAGAAUGGGUUAUUUCUUAUUGGGUCCUUGCCAAAGGGUUCCCAUAGAGGUCCCCAACCCCCACAACUUGAUGGCUGAAGACACUACUCAUGUCAUCAAAUAUGGAGAAGUCAAGCUGGUGCCAAACUUGAAGAUUCACUCUAUUAUUAGUAUCUGGAGAGUACUCUGCACCAGAAGAGAAAGGUAGUCAUCCUUAUUACCUAGCUACAAAUGCUGCCACAAUCUAACAAUGACUUGUCUCCAAAAUAUACCAAUACAAUAAUGGCACAUAUGUUAUGUGCACAACCAACCGCUUUCUGCUUGGAUCUAAGGUCCACUUCAUGAAAGGGUACUCAUACCUGAUAGUGUUAAAGUUCCCAAGAUCCUGAGACUAGGUAAGUCAUGGGCCUAGGAAAAAGCCUAAUGCCAUCAAUCUGCCAAAAGAACUUAGUAGUAAAUGACUCCUAAUUGCAUGCUAUUGUGCCCAUUGAUCAGUGCCUCACUUAAUAUCAAAGAAGUUUCUUCUUUCAGUAGGUGGUUCCCACCACUGGUAAAUGUACAGAGAGUGAGAGACUUUGGAGGGUUCAGCUCUAAGCGGAAUGUUUUCAUCAAAGCCCUCUCCUUAGGGGAUUCGUGCGGAAGAAGAGGCAGAAAGACUGUAAGACCCAGAGGAGAUGGAUUACUUCUUGGAAACAGUGCCUUCCAGACACAACGGGAGUGAUGCACAGGCGAAGUCAUUGUGGCAGAGACUGCGGCGACACACACAGAUCAUGCCCAAUCAAACCGAAUGAGGGGGGAAAUGGACAUGGGAUUCCGCCCUGGUGAAGAAGCUGUUUGUCAGUGAUACUUGCUGGUAAAGGGAACAUAUGUUUUCUCUAGUGGUGUCUCACUGGGUAUCUCAGCCACAUUUCAGGAUAUGUCCCAUGGCUGGCCAGGAGAAGUGUGCCAACCUAAGAGGAACUCAGUGGUACUUUUUUGAACCCUUUUUAUCAUUCUGCUUUCUUCUGGCAUUUUUGUUUGUUUAUUUUUUGUUUUUGUUUUGCCUCAUUGGUCUUUUGAUUGUUUCAAUUUUCAUCUUUGUGGGUUUUAUUUGGGGGUGGUUGUUUCUUGUUUUGUUUUUUGAAAGAGAAAGAGAAAGAACAUAGAGCUGAGCAGCUAGGGAAGUAGGGGGGAUCUGGGAGGAACUGUGAGAGGAAAAACAUGAUCAAAAAUACACUGUAUACAUUUUCUUUCUGUUAGAAAAAGGAAAACUGGGCUGGAGAGAUGGCUCAGCCGUUAAAGGCUAGGCUCACAACCAAAAAUAUAAGAAAAAGGAAAACUAUUCUUUGCCACUACAAAUUUGUUUGUGUGUCCUCAGUGUGCCUAAAUGUAGAAAAUAUCCUCAAAAAUUUGUUUCCCCUUAAAGAUGGUGGAAUUCUAGGUGACUGUAGAAGGUUUGCUGGCCCUGCAAGAAAGCAAGUUUAUGAAUUUCCUUGCUCUAUCUUUGUUAUGUGCUGGUGGAUGUACUCAGUGAACCCCAGUGUGACCGAGGUUCUUGGUCUUAUCAGCUCCCUAGAUUUAAGAUGUUCUCUUUUGUAGCUUCAAACAUAUCUUAAAAUUUCCAUGAGUUCCCUUAUAAAGAGGAACAUAUUUUGAGCAAACAGGAGUUUGUGGUCCUGCAGUGCAUUUGGUUAUCUCAGGAGAUGUGGCAAAGGUGAAAGGAUCCAUGAAUAACACAUCAGAGAGAGAACGCAUGCAGGAAGGUUAGCUGCCGUAAUCACAAGGGCAGCACCUCUUCCUUCAAGUGGAUUUGUGUCCCUUUUUGGAAGCAGCCUCAGGUUUGUUUGACAUUUCCAAGGGAUCAGAAUUCAGGCUUAUUAAUCCCAGUUCCUUUAGGAAGAAACCCAGUGAGAAUGGCUCUCUGCCUUUACUGAACUUCUCCAAAUGUCUGGGCACUCUCCCUUAUAUUACCCUCUCUCUUGCUUGCCCUCCAGUCAAUACAACCAGCAUCUUCUGGAGGAGGCUGCUGGCCAGGGCCCAGGUCUCCUCUGGGAGUUCCUGUGGCUCUUAGGCGUUCAACGCUGGUGCUUUUGCUACUUUUUCCUCUGGAUUCUUUGUGUCCCCUUCACACUGGGACUGGUUCUCACAGGGAAGCAUUUUAGUCCAGGUGUCUGGCUCAUGAACACCAUGGAGCACAGCUGUGAGGCAGGGAUUUGCCCACACCUUGCUGCUGCAAAACAUGUGAGAGGCCAUGGGUUUGAGCUGAUCAUUGCAUUAUUCCCAUGGGCCAAAUGUAAAGUCAUCUUUGGUAAGUUUCCAUGUCCCCAACUGACACUAAGUUGUUUAUCUAACUUUGAAAACAAGGGGAGUGCAAGAAGACAAAAGAUACUAAUGUCCCCAGACAAGCUAGCUUUAACUGUCAUGAUGAGGUUGGCUCUGUUUUAUCCCAUAAAAAGAUAAUGAUGACACCUGCUUUUCACUCUCUAUUCCUUAUUUCUAAGCCCUUUGCUGCUUGAACAGCCAAUUUCCCCUGCCAUAUUCAUUCAUGCACUCCUUCUACUUUAGAGGGCAAGGCACUGUCCAGCUGUGGAAUCUCAAAUAAAAGCCUCAGAAGGCUUUUAUUUUUAUAUUUCUUUGUGGCACUUAAAAAAAAUGACACUGAGCUCUCUCCUAACAGUUUACUUGCAUGAAGUACAAUAUAAUCAUACACAAAUAUUGAUUAUACUAUAUUAUUUAGGGGAUUAUGAAAAGAAAAAUUACCUGCAUGUGUUCAGUACUGAUGAAAAAACUGAACAGAUUUUGUCUGUGAUUGGUCGAAUUUAUUCAUAUAGAAACUAUACACGCGGGCUGACUGUGUGGUCUGGGCAGCCUUGAAGAGCAAUACUUCUAAAACUUCAGCUACAAUUUUUUUUCUUACGUUGAGAGUUUGUUUAACAUACAGAGUCCUGAAUUCUAACCACAGUGGUCUGUGAUUAGCAUUCUCAUCACGUGGUUCACAGACCACACUCUGAACAGAAGCACAGACACCUGGAAAGCUUCAGGCUCUGCUGCAUGACCAGAGAAGCUAUAUUCCAUUGCAUGAGAGCCAGGAGGGAAUUAACAUUUGAGGAUGGUUCUUUUUUUUCCCCCCUAAGAAACCCAGCAAAAGCCAUACGAGGCUCUUUGUUGUUUAGAAACAGCACUGAAGCCCUUCGAGAGGGUUCUUUUCUGUAGCCUUAAAGAAUGAUGUAUUUAUGCUCUUCUUCCUGCUCAGAAAGCACUUGAUGAGAACUGUUAUUCCUCUAGUGAGAAACACAACUUGAGACUCAGUCUGUGGUGGCUACUGGCAAUCAUUCCAUGUUCGUCCAUAGGGCUUCACAGCCAGGGCCCACCAUUAAGGAAAUGAAUGAAUGGGGAAAGGAAUGAUUACAGUCUCUGCAUCUGCAGUACAGAUAUACCCUAGUAGUAAGUGAAGCUCUACCGAAGUAUUGAACAACCUUUCCGAGCACUGUGGCCUUACCAGAAGCAAGACAUGGGCCCUGGUGUGAGGUGAAAAUAGUCUAGGCUAAUGGCUUUCCACUAAUUAGCACUAGAAAGGAUGUAUACCCACAACCUCCUUAUUAAACUUGAGCUUGCAUUUUCUCUUC
rnacentral:sRNA from 1 species